rnacentral:tRNA from 9 species
GCCGAUGUAGCUCAGUUGGUAGAGCAACGCAUUCGUAAUGCGUGGGUCAGCGGUUCGAAUCCGCUCAUCGGCUCCA